GUGCACGCUGGCGGUAGGCCUAACACCUGCCAGUCGAACGGCAGCACAGUAAGAGCUUGCUCUUACGGGUGGCGAGUGGCGGACGGGUGAGGAAUACAUCGGAAUCUACUUUUUCGUGGGGGAUAACGUAGGGAAACUUACGCUGAUACUGCAUACGACCUACGGGUGAAAGCAGGGGAUCUUCGGACCUUGCGCGAUUGAAUGAGCCGAUGUCGGAUUAGCUAGUUGGCGGGGUAAAGGCCCACCAAGGCGACGAUCCGUAGCUGGUCUGAGAGGAUGAUCAGCCACACUGGAACUGAGACACGGUCCAGACUCCUACGGGAGGCAGCAGUGGGGAAUAUUGGACAAUGGGCGCAAGCCUGAUCCAGCCAUACCGCGUGGGUGAAGAAGGCCUUCGGGUUGUAAAGCCCUUUUGUUGGGAAAGAAAAGCAGCAGGUUAAUACCCCGCUGUUCUGACGGUACCCAAAGAAUAAGCACCGGCUAACUUCGUG
rnacentral:rRNA from 1 species